GGGCCCGCACAAGCGGUGGAGCAUGUGGUUUAAUUCGACGCAACGCGAAGAACCUUACCUGGUCUUGACAUCCUGCGAACUUUCUAGAGAUAGAUUGGUGCCUUCGGGAACGCAGUGACAGGUGCUGCAUGGCUGUCGUCAGCUCGUGUCGUGAGAUGUUGGGUUAAGUCCCGUAACGAGCGCAACCCUUGUCCUUAUUUGCCAUCAUUUAGUUGGGCACUCUAGGGAGACUGCCGGUGACAAACCGGAGGAAGUGGGGGACGACGUCAAGUCAUCAUGGCCCUUACGACCAGGGCUACACACGUGCUACAAUGGUAGGUACAGAGGGAAGCCACCCCCCGCGAGGGGGAGCGGA
rnacentral:rRNA from 1 species